GGCUGCUCUUCCAGAGGUCCUGAGUUCAAUUCCCAGCAACCAUAUGGUGGCUCACAACCAUCUGUAAUGAAAGCUGGCGCCCCCUUCUGGCAUGCACAUGUACUUCUAGACAGAGCCCUCACAUAUAGAAAAUAAAUAAAAAACAAUACAAUUCUUUGGUACACAUAAAAUUUUACCAUUUGUUAAAGACAGCAAAUUUGCAUACUAAUGAGAUGGAUAUGACUAUUUUUACAUAAAGAACUAAAUCUUAGCUGUUUACUCAAUGCUGUAGAAUGUAAAGCAUCUUCAGUAUUUUUUAGACUUGAUGGAUAUUUUGAUUUUUUUUUUCAAGAUGGGGUUUCUCUGUAUAACAGCCCUGGCUGUCCUGGAACUCUCUUUGUAGACCAAGUUGGUCUCAAACUCACAGAGAUCUGCCUGCCUCUGCCUCUCGAGUCCUGGAAUUAAAGGUGUUCACCACCAUGCCUGUCCUAUAUUUUGAUUUUAUAAUUCACAAUGCUGAGAAUGCCACUUUGCAUAAAUCAAAAGUAUAAUAAUGGCAGGAAUGUGUUCAGAAAUUAUUAGAAAUUCUUCUCUACUCCCAAGUCAAAUUCUCCUUAAUGACUCUUUGAAACUCCAGACAGCAACAGAAACAGCAGUGUUUUGUUUUAGACAGUUUCUCACGUAUAGCAAGUUGGCCUUAAACUUCCAAGAAUGACCUUGAGCUUCUGCUCCUCGGGCCUCCACUGCUGAAGGAUGCCAUUGUGGAUGAGCACUCCAGCACCUGGUUUACGCACUGCUGUGGAUGGGGCGAAUUUUAUCCUUAGGCGAUGAGAAGCGACAGUAGGAGCUACUGUCUACGAUAGCACUAAAAGCACUGCAAUAUAUAAUAUACCAUAGUCUCUGUGAGGCUUUAGGUGGCAUUCACUGGUGGUAUAUGGAGUGCUGGCAUGUGCAGGUCAGCGUGUGCACACUGAAUGUUCAAUACCAAGGAUGGACAGUGAGAGUACAUCCAGCCAACACACAGGAAUUGGCCAGAAACACCACAGAUUCGUUCCGAGUUUGAUUCUGAAUUAAUUUGUGGCUGUUGUGCAUUCGGAAACCUUUUACUGUUGCCCAAUUUUUACCACCUCCACAUUCAGUUACUGGUGGCCACCCACAGUUUUUACAGUCUGGGGCUUAGGAGAGUUCACGGCCUGUCCAGCCAUUGCAAACUUGGGUCUACCUGCCCUCUAGUGGCCGAAGGUGACAAUGCCCUCCUUUGCAUCCGUGCACUUUCCCAUCAAAGACUGAGAAAUUGACAAGUGUCCUCCAAGGACCGAGACCUCCACUGCCUGACAAGAGGCCCAGGCUAUGAGAUUUCUCAAACAUGUGAUUCUGCAGCCAUGUGGUUUUGAGGAUCCCUUCGUCUCUCUGAGCUCCGCUUUGUCCUGUAAUAGGGGUUGGAUUAGACAGCAUGGGUAACAAAUCGUUUCAAAACCCUCAGGGCUUGUAACGCCGAAAGCUGGUUUCUCACUCAUGCCUCCUGUCCACAACACCGUGGACCAACUAAAUUCGGUGUCAUCUCCACUCCAGGACCUGAAAGAGCCUUCCAGAGCAUUGCCAGUGAUUGUGACAAACUGAAGGGGUUCCAGGUAACAUGUUUGAUUGUCCCCAGGAGCUGAAGAGAUGGCUCAAGCUCUUCCAGAGGACUCAAGUUUGGCUCCCAACAACCAUGUCAGGUGGCCCACAACCACCUCUAACUCUAGCUCCAGGAGAUCCAGUGUCCUCUUCCGGCCUCCCAGGGUACCGUAUACACGUGACAUACACAUACAAACACACAUAUAAAUAAAAAUAAAUCUUUCAAACAGUGUUUGAUCAUCCAGAUACUUUGUGUUUGUUUGUGUGCACACUUAUUAUGUAGGUGUGGAUGUGUGUGCACGUGUACAUGUGGACCCAGUGGUCACUCUCAUGGACCAUUACUCAGAAACCAUCCACCUUAUUUGUUUUGGGGUGUGUGUGUGCGCGUGUGUGCGCGCGCGCGCACACUUGCACAGAUGUACACACCCAUGAAGGCACAUGUAGGGACCAGAGGUCAACAUCUCUCUCAACCUUAAUGUUUUUGAGAGAGAGCCUUUCACUGAGUCUAGAGCUAACCAUUUCAGUGAUGUUGGCUGGCCAGCAGGCCCCCAGGAGUCACUUGUUCCCCCAGCCCCUCACCCAUGCUAGGGAUACAGAUGCAUGCCACUGCACCCAGAUUUUAGGCGGAUGCUGAGGAUCCAGACUGAUGCUUGUACAGUUUGCGGCCAACCUGGGCUACAUGAGACCCUGUCUAAAACAAAACAAAGCAAGAAAAUUUGAGGAUGUAAAAUAAAACAUUUUGAUUGUCCUGGAGGAGAAGCAGCUAAUGCUGCUGGCUUCUUGUGGGUAGAAUUCCAGCUGCUGGCUAUCUCCCUGCAGCCCCAGAACGCUCCCCUGCCCCAACCCCCAAUGGUCCAUGCUGUCAGUUGAGCAUCUCUGCUCACCUUUGUUGAGAUUUGCUGUUCCCAUCACCACCAAGCUGUUGUGUUUUUCACACAGCCCCAGAUAGGCACGAUCCAGCUUUUGAGAAAGAACAAUCCUGCCCACGUAGCCAUGAAAACUUUAUUAGAUUUGAAUAAAUGUAGAUGGAGGCCCCACCUGAAGAGAGAGAUGAAGGCUGCCCAUUCGUACCACAAAGUCAAGUAAUGACGUCUCCACACGGGAGGAGCUUCCAGAGUGGGCAGGCAGGGCUAGGCUCGGCUCUGGAAGUGCAGCAUGGGACAGAGAGGGAGCAUGGGCAGGGGCUCCUGUGGGCCACCUCAGCCUAGGGGGAAAGUGGAAGGGUGCAGCAGAAGGAAGGGGCUGGAACCUGCUGUGGAUAGUCCUCACACAGCCCUCCCCUCACAGAGCCCGCUCCACCCCCACCACUGCCUGCUCUGCCCGGGGACCCCCAUUCUCUUUCUCAUACACACAUAACUUCUCACCUACUAGUGCCCGCCGGCACACACACACACACACACACACACACACACACACACACACACACACACA